rnacentral:RNase_P_RNA from 1 species
GCCGCUCUCCGGGCGGUCGCGGUCUUGCUUGCAAGGUCGAGGAAAGUCCGGACACCACAGGGUAACGCGCCUCUCGAAAGAGGGGGACGGCCGUUUCAAGACGGCUGGACGGAAAGUGCAGCAGAGAGCAAACCGCCGAUGGCCCGCAAGGGAUCAGGUAAGGGUGAAAGGGUGGGGUAAGAGCCCACCGCGUGUCCGGGUAACCGGCACGGCACGGCAAACCCCGCGUGGUGCAAGACAGAACAGGGGAAGGGUGCCCGCCCGUCGUAUCCCCGGGUAUUAGUCGCAUCCCGCGCAAGCGGGAGCCCGCUUCGGCGGACAGAGAAAUGACCGUUACUUCGGAACACAGGGUUCCGAGGGAACAGAAUCCGGCUUACAGGAGAGCGGCCCGA